rnacentral:rRNA from 1 species
AUUGAACUCUGGCGGCAGGCCUAACACAUGCAAGUCGAACGAGUGGCGGACGGGUGAGUAAUGUCUGGGAAACUGCCUGAUGGAGGGGGAUAACUACUGGAAACGGUAGCUAAUACCGCAUACCAUCGGAUGUGCCCAGAUGGGAUUAGCUAGUAGGUGGGGUAAAGGCUCACCUAGGCGACGAUCCCUAGCUGGUCUGAGAGGAUGACCAGACACACUGGAACUGAGAAACGGUCCAGCCUCCUACGGGAGGCAGCAGUGGUGACUAUUGCACAAUGGGCGCAAGCCUGCUGCAGCCAUGCGGCGUGUAUGAAGAAGGACUUCGGGUUGUAAAGUACUUUCAGCGGGGAGUCGUUACCCGCAGAAGAAGCGCGUGCUAACUCCGUGCCAGCAGCCGCGGUAAUAC